rnacentral:RNase_P_RNA from 1 species
AUUCUUCGCCGGAUAGCCGCUCUUUGGCGAAAGCUGAAGGGAGGAAAGUCCGAGCACCAUUUUAUCCGCAAGGAUAAAUUAGUGGCAGUGGCUAACGGCCACCCCCCGCAAUGCGGGGCGAGACAGUGUCACAGAGACAAUACCGCGACAUCAUCAAUUUUGGCCUAAAGCCGAAAAAGUUGGUACGUAAGGGUGAAAAGAGUGAGCCCGCCUUCGCGCGGGAUAACCCGCUUCGGCGGGUGAAGUAAGAGCUCACAGCUCCGCUUGGCGACAGGCGGAGGUGAAAAACACUUGCCCGGUGCAACCCCAUUUAACGGGGGCUAGAGUCCUCGACGCAAGUCGGGACCCAGACAGAUGGCUAUUUAAACAGAACUCGGCUUAUGAGCGGAGAAUCAUA